AUUGAACGCUGGCGGUAGGCCUAACACAUGCAAGUCGAACGGCAGCACAAGAGAGCUUGCUCUCUGGGUGGCGAGUGGCGGACGGGUGAGGAAUACAUCGGAAUCUACUCUGUCGUGGGGGGAUAACGUAGGGAAACUUACGCUAAUACCGCAUACGACCUACGGGUGAAAGCAGGGGACCUUCGGGCCUUGCGCGAUUGAAUGAGCCGAUGUCGGAUUAGCUAGUUGGCGGGGUAAAGGCCCACCAAGGCGGCGAUCCGUAGCUGGUCUGAGAGGAUGAUCAGCCACACUGGAACUGAGACACGGUCCAGACUCCUACGGGAGGCAGCAGUGGGGAACAUUGGACAAUGGGCGCAAGCCUGAUCCAGCCAUACCGCGUGGGUGAAGAAGGCCUUCGGGUUGUAAAGCCCUUUUGUUGGGAAAGAAAUCCAGCUGGCUAAUACCCGGUUGGGAUGACGGUACCCAAAGAAUAAGCACCGGCUAACUUCGUGCCAGCCGCCGCAGUAA
rnacentral:rRNA from 1 species